rnacentral:pre_miRNA from 1 species
UGGACAAAUUAUUGUAUUCAACUGGACUGUAUUCACGACGUGAAAUAGGGGAUUACACUGUUUUUAGAACGGAAAGUGAAUCAAUUAACAUAAUAGACUCCU